GUGCCAGCCGCCGCGGUAAUACGGAGGGUGCAAGCGUUGUUCGGAAUUAUUGGGCGUAAAGCGCGUGUAGGCGGUCACGCAAGUCAGAUGUGAAAGCCUUCCGCUUAACGGAAGAAGUGCAUUUGAAACUGCGUGACUAGAGUACGGGAGAGGAGAGUGGAAUUCCCGGUGUAGAGGUGAAAUUCGUAGAUAUCGGGAGGAACACCAGUGGCGAAGGCGGCUCUCUGGCCUAAUACUGACGCUGAGACGCGAAAGCGUGGGGAGCAAACAGGAUUAGAUACCCGCGUAGUCC
rnacentral:rRNA from 1 species